UAGAGAGUAGUGUACCGGAAGCACGAAGAGUUUUGAUCUCCUAAGUGAAGGUCCAAAUCCUUCCUCUCUAU
ensembl:Mt_tRNA